rnacentral:rRNA from 1 species
UUGGAGGGCAAGUCUGGUGCCAGCAGCCGCGGUAACUCCAGCUCCAAUAGCGUAUAUUAAGGUUGCUGCAGUUAAAAAGCUCGUAGUUGAAUUUCGGGACCAAUAUGUCGGUCGUGCCUCGGUACGUACUGGCAUCGUUGGUUUCUCCCUUCUGACGAACCAUGAUGUCAUUUAUUUGGUGUCGUGGGGAAUCAGGACUGUUACUUUGAAAAGAUUAGAGUGUUUAAAGCAGGCUCACGCUUGAAUACAUUAGCAUGGAAUAAUGAAAUAGGACGUUUGAUUCUAUUUUGUUGGUUUCUAGGAUUGACGUAAUGAUUAAUAGGGAUAGUUGGGGGCAUUAGUAUUCAAUUGUCAGAGGUGAAAUUCUUGGAUUUAUUGAAGACUAACUACUGCGAAAGCAUUUGCCAAGGAUGUUUUCAUUAAUCAAGAACGAAAGUUAGGGGAUCGAAGACGAUCAGAUACCGUCGUAGUCUUAACCAUAAACUAUGCCGACUAGGGAUCGGAUGAUGUUAAUUUUUUUAUGACUCAUUCGGCACCUUACGGGAAAC